GGUCCGGUCCGGUCCGGUCAUCCAAGAAAUUAAGCGCGUCUCCGCUGCUCGCGGUCCAGCCCCAAUCGCGAGCGGAGCGUCGUCCGCUCCCCUUCUCUUCCGCAGCUGCCGACGACGACGACGACUACCGGGGAAAGCUGCAGUCAUGGUCAAAUCAAAUGUUGCUGCUGAAGUUGUAUAUGAUCCUUCAAAUUCUCAUUCUUAUAUAUCUCAUUCCAGAUUGUAUGCUAGUGAAGAGUGGAACUUCAUGUCACGAAACCUUGCAGAUAUUUAUAGGAAGCCAAUAUCUAAAGAAUAUAUUGAUCAUUCUGACAGUGAGAAUGAGGAGAUGGGCAUUAGGAAAAUAUUGAAAGACCGAUGAAUACUUGGGUAUGGAGCUUUAUAAUUCCAAAAAUUGUAUCAUAUAGUUUAUAUCUUAGAUUUUUUAUGAAAUCAUGUGUUAGUAA